UCAAAAUGGCAUACCAACUUUUUUUUUGAAAAAUGUUGAAAAAUUUUUAUACAUAAAAAAUUAUUUUUUUAAAAAACGGCUCCUACAAUUUUCGAAAAUUUUUUUCUAAAAAUACCUUUUUAUACAAGAAAUAAAAUGGCAUAAUUGUUAUUUUUUUAAGAUAUUUUAAAACGGAGUUUAAUUAAUUAUAAAAACAGAUUUAAUUUUUUUUAUACUAGGUACUUAUGAAAUUUCUUCAAAAUAUCAAAUUUUAAAUUUCUUGUAUGAAAAGCUUUAACAUUAUAGUUACUUUAAGCAUAAGAGCAAGUACGUGCGACCCCAGUCGUGCAUUUUAUUUAUUACGUACCUACUUCACUUCAUUCAAGAAAGUGUAGGUAGGUACCUACUUAUGCAACAACUUUAUUCUCCUAAGGGUAAAGGCCUAAAUUCCACAUUUGACCCCUCUUAUAUUGGUGAACGUUUUCAAAAUUGAAAUUGAAUUUUAAAAAGUAAGCACUCAGUUUUUUCAAACAUAGGAAUAUGAUAACAAUAAGCAUUAUGGUUAUAAUUUCUUCAAUCUCCUAGAAGAACCUUUAAGAACUUGUACAAAUUGUGUUUAGUGUAUUGAUAUCCUAACAUUUUGAUGUUGUUUUUCCGUCGGCUAAUUUAAAUAUCACAGUCAAUUUCUAUAUAGCCUUAAUUUUGGAGAGAUGCAUUUCACAUUCAUUUAAUUUCGUUUACUACCACUCUUACAUUUCUAAAGACCUCAACCAUAAACAAAAAAUACCAAGACGACAUCGAAUUUGUUGCUCCAAGAUUUGACCUUGAAAUGCACUUCAACAGUUUUCUUAAAAAAGCUAAAUUGCCCAAAUUAACGCACAGCAACAAAAAUGGUAUCAAAUUAAAGGGCCUCUCAACACCUUUUCAAAAAGGUCUCAUUCAACUUUUAAAUCCAUCUCCUUCAUGUCCAAAAUGCAUUGUGGAACUUGUGGAACAUAUCAAAACGUCAAGAUAGCACCCACACCAAGAAAAACUUAAAAAUUAAAAAAAAUAAGUAUGCAAUAAUUUGUUGCUAAUUAGUUGCUCUAAUCUUGAAUUUGUUGCUCCACCCCUUCCCCCUUAAAAUUGAUAGAAAUGGUGUGGGUGCUAUCUUGACGUCGAGAUAGCAUCCACACCCCCAAAUUUCCAAAAUCUGAGUAAGCAGGAUUUUAGGGAAAAUUUGUUGCUAAUUAGUUGCUCUAAUCUUGAAUUUGUUGCAACAUGAUUUGACCAUAAAAUCGGCUGCAACAGAUGUAUUUUUUUGGAGACUUUUUAUCUAUAAUUUUUUUCAAAAAACUAAAAAUGCCAAAUUAAAAACAUGAUUUCAUGCUCUACAAAAAAGAACAUAAAAAUUUUCCAUCGCUUUUCAUUCCAGCCUUAGAGUCCAAAAACUAGUCAACUCUCGCCCCUUAAAACUAUAAAAAAGGGUGUGAGUGCUAUCUUGACGUGAAGAUAGCACCCACACCCCCAAAUUUCCAAAAUCUGAGUAUGCAGAAUUUUAGUGAUAAUUUGUUGCUAAUUAGAUGCUCUAAUCUUGAAUUUGUUGCUCCAAGAUUUGACCAUAAAAUCGGCUGCAACAGAUGCAGUUUUUUGGAGACUUUUUAUCUAUGAUCUUUUUCAAAAAACUAAAAAUGCCAAACAAUAAAUAUGAUGUGACACUCUGCAAAAAGUUACAUUGAAACUUUAAAUCGCAAUCCAUUUCGUUCUUAUGGGCCAAAAACUAGUUUUUGAUGACGUCACUUCGACAAAAAAAAAUUAGCACCUCAACAAAUUAGAUUCUAAUAUCUGAGAAUGCAGGAAUUUGAUGCUCAUUUAAUGCUUGAUAUAAUAAUGAUCUAAUUUAGAUACUAAAUUUUUCCACUACGUUCCUAACUAACAAAAAUAUAUAACCUCCACAACAUAAAUUUCAAAAUCUGAGUGCCUGUCUAUACAGAUAUUGAUACUGUAACUAUUUAUAUAACUUCAAUGGAAAUUUGAUGUCUAAUUGAUGUUAUUUAAUUAUAGCUCGAAACGAAGAUUGAUGCUCUUCAAAAAGCUACCUUUCAAAUAGAUAUCUCAUCUUAACUUUUUACCUUCAGAAGCCUUAACAACAUUUUUACUUGCGAUAUAGGUACUAUAGGGCAAGUUUAGGAUUCGUAAAAAAAAUCGAACUCGAGAUAACAAUUUUACAUGACAUUACGAUGAUGGAGAAUGCCAAAAAAGUGGGUCCGGCAAUUCUGUCUGUCUGUCUGUCUGUCUGUCUGUGUGUCUGUCUCUAUCUGGAGCUGCAGCCUAAACGAGUGAAGUGAUUUUCUUCAAACUUGGUAGUUAGCAGUUUUUGGUGAUUCCCUAGAGGGGAAAUUGAAAUUUUUUUUUUUAUGACCAAAACUAACGGUACCUGCCAUAUAACGGAAAUACAAAAGUUAAUUUUUUUCAAAAACGGCUCUAACGAUUUUGAUUAAAAUUUUUGUGUGUAGUACUACACAUAAUAGCCAACUUUUUAAAUAAAAAAAAUAUUUUUUGUACCGUUAUUAACGGUACCUGUCAUAGAACGUUUUUUUUCGUUUCUGAAUAUCUCGUAAAAAAUUAACCCGAUUUAAAUGAAAAUUUUUAUACAAAAGUGUGUAAGUAAAGAUAAUAUUAAAAUUUUAGAAAAUUUUCAAAAAACGCAUUUUUGGUUUUUUAAAAAAUAUUUCAAAAUUUUUUUUUGAAAAAUCAAUUUUUUGAAAACGAAUCAAUGAAAAAUUUUGAAAUUUAGUUUUUAUGUGUAAAUUAAUUAUUUCUUCAAAAUGGCAUACCAACUUUUUUUUUGAAAAAUGUUGAAAAAUUUUUAUACAUAAAAAAUUAUUUUUUUAAAAAACGGCUCCUACAAUUUUCGAAAAUUUUUUUCUAAAAAUACCUUUUUAUACAAGAAAUAAAAUGGCAUAAUUGUUAUUUUUUUAAGAUAUUUUAAAACGGAGUUUAAUUAAUUAUAAAAACAGAUUUAAUUUUUUUUAUACUAGGUACUUAUGAAAUUUCUUCAAAAUAUCAAAUUUUAAAUUUCUUGUAUGAAAAGCUUUAACAUUAUAGUUACUUUAAGCAUAAGAGCAAGUACGUGCGACCCCAGUCGUGCAUUUUAUUUAUUACGUACCUACUUCACUUCAUUCAAGAAAGUGUAGGUAGGUACCUACUUAUGCAACAACUUUAUUCUCCUAAGGGUAAAGGCCUAAAUUCCACAUUUGACCCCUCUUAUAUUGGUGAACGUUUUCAAAAUUGAAAUUGAAUUUUAAAAAGUAAGCACUCAGUUUUUUCAAACAUAGGAAUAUGAUAACAAUAAGCAUUAUGGUUAUAAUUUCUUCAAUCUCCUAGAAGAACCUUUAAGAACUUGUACAAAUUGUGUUUAGUGUAUUGAUAUCCUAACAUUUUGAUGUUGUUUUUCCGUCGGCUAAUUUAAAUAUCACAGUCAAUUUCUAUAUAGCCUUAAUUUUGGAGAGAUGCAUUUCACAUUCAUUUAAUUUCGUUUACUACCACUCUUACAUUUCUAAAGACCUCAACCAUAAACAAAAAAUACCAAGACUGGAAACUUUCGUACGUCUUUCCCCCCAAAACCCUUUUGUGUAGAGUGCUGUCUGUGAAUAUAUGUGAAAGCCACCACGUUGGUAAAUGACGUUAACACGCACACAUUUAUAGAUUCACGACAUUCCCCACACAUCGGACACGAACACAACGGUAGGUUCACGACUUUCACCACACCUCGCAGCUUGUAGACAAACGUCAGUUGACCGCCGAGUUUCCAGUCUUGGUAUUUUUUGUUUAUGCCUCAACGCUCUUCAUCCAAUCAGGUCGCUACUUCCUGUUUUUUAAAUAAACAAAAUAAAAAUGUACCUAUGUAUCUAUACUAAGGCCGUGUGUGAAUUGCGUUAAAUAGUUAAAUUGUGUAAAAUUUUUGACACUAUUGAGGUGAAAAAAAUAAUUUCAAAAAAAGAAUUUAUUGUUUAAAAUUUAGUCUGCCUUUUUUCUUCCAUGAUAGGUACUUCUUUUUAAUAAAAAAAAACAAAACAAAACCAUCUGCAAACAAAAUUUAACUCAAAUUUAACCAGGUCCCGGAGCCCAAUAAAUGUUUAACAGCUGAAAAUUUUUUAUUCACCUAAAUAGUGUCAAAAAUUUUACACAAUUUAACUAUUUAACGCAAUUCACACACGGCAUAAAUAAAAAAAAACCACACAUAUUGAUUUUCAUAAGAAUAAUCGCGUGUGUAUGCGUUGAUUUUAAUUUUGACUUCGCCCUCGACAGCAUACUUUGAUGAAAAUUCACUAUCUAAAUCUGCAAUACCUUCACCUUCAAAUGUUUCUUUCUUUAGUCGGUUUCAGACCUCUUCGUAGGUAAGUAUGAUGUGCGUUCUCUUGAGUCAAAAAUUUUAUGACAAAGGUAUAUCUAUACAAGCCUGUUCAAUUGAACUAGAAACAUGAGUUGUGCAAUUAUUCUAAAAUUUAGGUUUAAUAUCUAUACACAUAAUAGAUAUAUGUAGGUCAUAGGGUCUUUCUUCAGUUCAUCUUGAUUUAAACAGUUUAAAUAUUGAAAUCAGUAUCCAAUCAGUCGAUACAAAAAAAAAAUCGUACAGAAGGGGGGUCUAUUCCCCCUCGUUUAGCGGGGAGGGGCAAUUUAAAAAAAAAUUACUUAAUUUGAAAAAUAGACAGUUAAAAAUCAACGGUUACAUCUACAAUAACGUGAAUAUACUUUUUUUGUAAAGCAGUAACCUCGUCUUAUACAAAAUAAAUUGCACGACUGGGGUCGCACGUACUUGCUCUUAGAGUUAAAGUUGCUUAAAUUUUUAAGACUUUUUAUAUGUAUAGAAAUUUGGAAAAAAAAAUAAAAUUCGUUUUUAAAAAAAAAUAAAAUAAAAUCUGAAAUUAAAUUGCCCUCCAAAACAAGUACGCAGUUUUGAUUGAUAUAUUAACAUGCAUUUUUAGAAAAAAAUUUCAAAAUCGUUAGAGCCGUUUUUUAAAAAACUAAUUUUUUAUAAAUAAUUUUUUGGAAAAAAAGUUUUAAAAUAAAAUUGGUAUGCCAUUUUGUAGAAAUCACUAAUCAACAUCUAAAAACAAAAUUUCAAAAAUAUUCAAUAUCCCGUUUUCGAAAAUUUAAUUUUUCAAAUAAAAAUUUUCAAAAUUUUUUUAAAAAUCCAAAAAUUAUUUUUUUCAAAAUUUUAUUUUUGGCUUAUAUAUAAAUUAUAUAAGUGCUUCUUCACAAAAAAUUUCGUGGAAAUCGAAUAAGCAGUUUCUGAAAUAAUCGGAUUUUAAAAAAAAACGGUUCUAUGGCAGGUACCGUUAAUAAUGAUUUUCAAAAAUUUUUUUUAUUGGAAGAUAGACCUUAGCUUAAAACUAACAUUUGAAUUUUUUAAACAAAAUCGUUGGAGCCGUUUUCGAGAUAUUUCAAUUUUACUAAAAUUGGUAUAUGACAAGUACCGUUAUUUUUGGUCCAAAAAAAUUAAUUCCAAAAACCCCUCUGGAGAGUCGCCAAAUAACGCUACAUACCAAGUUUGACAUUAAUCGGUCCAUCCGUUUAGGCUGUAGCUCCUUAUACAGACAGACAGACAGACGGACUUCCGGGACCCACUUUUUUGGCAUUGUCUACCAUCGUAAUGUCAUGGAAAAAUGUUAUCUCAACUUUUUUUUUUUUGUACGAAUGCAUAACUUGAUAUAUAGUACCUAUAUCGCAAGUAAAAAUUUGAACUAAGCCAUAUUAUAGCAUAAUUUUUGAAAAUUUAACAAAUUUUGAAAAAAAUAUUGAAAACAAAAAUUUCAAACUAAUUUUUUUCAAAAUCUUAUAUAAUUUAGUAGGUACUAAUUUAGUUUUUAAAAUUCGAUGCAUUUAUUUGGUUUCAAAUAAAAACAUAAAAGCAUAUCCAAAAAUAUCUUGUCAUUUUCGAGAAAUUAAGAAAAAACUUAAGAGUGGGUGUCCCCGAAUGACGAACUCAGACUUCAUGUAAAUGAGUUUGUGUGUAUUAGUGACCUUUCUUCGCCAUACAUCUCUCACGUUCAACGUCAUCUCAACUCAGUUCUCUCUCGGUAUCUUUAUUUGCAUUCUCUUUCCCUUUCUAGAGAACCAGAGUCAUAAAAUUAAAGUCUAUUUAGGUAGAAAAAGAAAUCAGCAUCAAGGAAAUAGCAAAAAAAAGGGUUGCAAGCCUUGCAAGUGUAUAUUACGGUUUUGCUUUGCGCAACCGAAUUCACUUGUGUUUUCGUUUUCCGUUGGUUUUACUCUAUGUGCAAGAGUCAUGGUAGGUAUAUUUAUGAAGAAAAAAAUGGUAUGAUAUUCAGUGUUGAAUUUUUCUAUCUUUCUGCGCAUCUAUGUACAUACAUCACUUGGUAUUCUAUAUAACUUUUGCAAGUGUUCGUAGGCGCAGGAAUCUGAUCGACUUUUUUUUUCUUUGUUAUGGUAUUCAGUGAUGAUAUUUUUUUUAGUAGUUUAAAAACAAAUUUUGUCAAAAUUUUUUUUUUUGGCAAAUAAAACGUUUAUUUUUUAAAACUAUUAGGUACAUAUUUGUUUAUUUAUUUGAAUGUUUUUAACUUUUUCUUUCGAAUUUGUACAUAGAUUUGUAUAUUAUAUUAUUAAUUGAUAUUAUUGUUAUUCAUAUAUAUAUGUAUAUUUUUCUCUUCAAUGCGAGGGAUCAUGUAGAAACAAAAUAGAAGAUAAUAAAGAGAGAGAUACAACUAGCGCCAGCGGAAUUUGUUUGAACUACAAAUUCCAAUACAUACGCAUUCCAUGAAUUUCUGAGGAAAUAAAUGGAAAGUAGACUCUUUUUCAAAAAUUAAUUGUAAGAAAACUAUUUAAGCAAUUCUUGUUUUCUAACUUGAUAUUGAUAGAAAAAAUAAUGAAAAAAAAUAAAAAAAAUAUAACAAAAAAUCUAAAAAUUCUGGUUUCUUAGUACAGUUUAUUGUUUUUGGGACUCCUUUAAAAGCGAUUGGAGGGUUACAAAAUAAUAUUUUCCAACAAAAUAUACCUUUACUCCAUAGUCAAUAAACUAAGCUUUUAAAAAAAAUAAAAAUCAAAAUCAUACUUUGAAAAACAAAGAAAUUAAACCACUUUGUUUUAAAAAAGUUAAGAAAAAAUGACUUUUUAACAUUUUUUUGUUGUUUAAGCCCUUAAAACUUAAUAUAAAUUUCUUAAACUAAUCAAUGUGUUAGUAUUUGAGUUGAGUUACUUAUUUCUUUUUAUUUCGAUGAAUUUUAUUAAUAAUUGCAGAAGUUACACAUGUUCAAACAUUGUAACAUAAGGAAAAAUAGCUUCAGUUUCGAUUAAUUUUUUUCUAUGAAAAAUACAUUUUUAGUUUUUCAAAAAAGUUUUACUCCGUAGUUUGAUUCAACCUCAAUCCAAAAUAGAAAUAAAAAAAAUAAAAAUUUUAGUCUAACUAAGAAACAAACCAAUGUCAUUCAGGUCGUUCUAAAAGAACGAAAAUUUUAUCAUGUUUUGUUCUCUCUUAAUUACAAGUGGACAAAUUUGGAAAUUAUGGGGAUGAAGAUAUUUAGCCUUGUUUAUUACCUAAAUAAUAAAAUUUAUUUCAUUCAAUUAUCUUUAAAAAUGUAAAAGUUAUUCACCGAUUUGUAAACGAUAACCCGAUUUUUACGUGGUCCACUCAGCCUUAAACUACCUACUUCUUUUCUAAGAAACCUCUUUAGUUUUGUUUUUACAUGGCUGGACUCGUUGAUAAAUUAAUUUAUGAAACAUUACAUCUAAUAUGUGUAUAGAUAUUAAACCUUAAUUUUAGAAUAAUUGCACAACUCAUGUUUCUAGUUCAAUUGAACAGGCUUGUAUAGAUAUACCUUUGUCAUAAAAUUUUUGACUCAAGAGAACGCACAUCAUAAUUACCUACGAAGAGGUCUGAAACCGACUAAAGAAAGAAACAUUUGAAGGUGAAGGUUGAAGGUAUUGCAGAUUUGGAUAGUGUAUUUUCAUCAAAGUAUGCUGUCGAGGGCGGAGUCAAAAUUAAAAUCAACGCAUACACACGCGAUUAUUCUUAUGAAAAUCAAUAUGUGUGAUUUUUUUUAUUUAGUAUAGGUACAUAGGUACAUUUUUAUUUUGUUUAUUUAAAAAACAGGAAGUAGCGACCUGAUUGGAUGAAGAGCGUUGAGGUCAUAAACAAAAAAUACCAAGACUGGAAACUCGGCGGUCAACUGACGUUUGCCUACAAGCUGCGAGGUGUGGUGAAAGUCGUGAACCUACCGUUGUGUUCGUGUCCGAUGUGUGGGGAAUGUCGUGAAUCUAUAAAUGUGUGCGUGUUAACGUCAUUUACCAACGUGGUGGCUUUCACAUAUAUUCACAGACAGCACUCUACACAAAAGGGUUUUGGGGGGAAAGACGUACGAAAGUUUCCAGUCUUGGUAUUUUUUGUUUAUGGUUGAGGUCUUUAGAAAUGUAAGAGUGGUAGUAAACGAAAUUAAAUGAAUGUGAAAUGCAUCUCUCCAAAAUUAAGGCUAUAUAGAAAUUGACUGUGAUAUUUAAAUUAGCCGACGGAAAAACAACAUCAAAAUGUUAGGAUAUCAAUACACUAAACACAAUUUGUACAAGUUCUUAAAGGUUCUUCUAGGAGAUUGAAGAAAUUAUAACCAUAAUGCUUAUUGUUAUCAUAUUCCUAUGUUUGAAAAAACUGAGUGCUUACUUUUUAAAAUUCAAUUUCAAUUUUGAAAACGUUCACCAAUAUAAGAGGGGUCAAAUGUGGAAUUUAGGCCUUUACCCUUAGGAGAAUAAAGUUGUUGCAUAAGUAGGUACCUACCUACACUUUCUUGAAUGAAGUGAAGUAGGUACGUAAUAAAAAAUGUUGUUAAGGCUUCUGAAGGUAAAAAGUUAAGAUGAGAUAUCUAUUUGAAAGGUAGCUUUUUGAAGAGCAUCAAUCUUCGUUUCGAGCUAUAAUUAAAUAACAUCAAUUAGACAUCAAAUUUCCAUUGAAGUUAUAUAAAUAGUUACAGUAUCAAUAUCUGUUUAGACAGUCACUCAGAUUUUGAAAUUUAUGUUGUGGAAGUUAUAUAUUUUUGUUAGUUAGGAUCGUAGUGGAAAAAUUUAGUAUCUAAAUUAGAUCAUUAUUAUAUCAAGCAUUAAAUGAGCAUCAAAUUCCUGCAUUCUCAGAUAUUGGAAUCUUAUUUGUUGAGGUGCUAAUUUUUUUUGUCGAAGUGACGUCAUCAAAAACUAGUUUUUGGCCCAUAAGAAGGAAAAGGAUUGCGAUUUAAAGUUUCAAUGUAACUUUUUGCAGAGUGUCACAUCAUAUUUAUUGUUUGGCAUUUUUAGUUUUUUGAAAAAGAUCAUAGAUAAAAAGUCUCCAAAAAACUGCAUCUGUUGCAGCCGAUUUUAUGGUCAAAUCUUGUAGCAACAAAUUCAAGAUUAGAGCAUCUAAUUAGCAACAAAUUGUUGCAUACUUAUUUUUUUUUAUUUUUAAGUUUUUCUUGGUGUGGGUGCUAUCUUGACGUCAAGAUAGCACCCACACCAUUUCUAUCAAUUUAAAGGGGGAAGGGGUGGAGCAACAAAUUCAAGAUUAGAGCAACUAAUUAGCAACAAAUUAUUGCAUACUUAUUUUUUUUAAUUUUUAAGUUUUUCUUGGUGUGGGCUAUCUUGACGUUUUGAUAUGUUCCACAAGUUCCACAAUACAUUUUGGACAUGAAGGAGAUGGAUUUAAAAGUUGAAUGAGACCUUUUUGAAAAGGUGUUGAGAGGCCCUUUAAUUUGACGUCAAGAUAGCACCCACACCCUUUCCAUCAAUUUUGAGGGGGAAGGAGUGGAGCAAAAAAUUCGAGAUUAGAGCAACUAAUUAGCAACAAAUUGUUGCAUACUCAGAUUUUGGAAAUUUGGGGGUGUGGGUGCUAUCUUGACGGACCUGAAAUAAAGCACAUAACAGCCAAGCUUUUCAAAUGCAUAGAUCCAAUUUUAUUUCAACAAAAAUUUCUUUUAGUUUAUAUCUAUAGGUAUGUUGUUUCUAAGACUGCUCUCUCCCAGAAGUUCCUUCCUGAGGCAAUUAAAUUUCUAUUUUAAGAAUUUAAUAUUUCUAAAUACCAUGCCUACUCCAAUAUUUAACAAAUAUAAACAUGUUAAGGGAGAUUUUCUGUCAAAUACAACAGCAAUUCUGCUGGUUUAGGGCUCAGUUAAAAUGUUUUGUUUUACUCAUGGCGUUCCAUUUUUUUACAGUUCCGGUAUCAUCAUUAAAAAAAAAUUACUGGUGAAAUCAGAUAAAAAUUUAUUUUAAUGACGUAAAUUUACUGAUUGCUAUAAACGCUAAUCAGUAAAAAAUAUCAAAUUCCUGAUGUUUCAAUUUUUACUGAUGGAUUUUACUGAUAGCUAUAACUAAGCCCUUAAUAAAACCCAUAAACUUGCGGUUUUCUUAAAAUAAGGUCAUUCAAAGUUAAUCAAAAGGAUAUAUUUCUUAAACUAUGAUCUUUUGGAUUUCUGUUACACAUAACGCUUAAAAUAUAAAGUAAUUUGAAUUUUAUAAUUUUAACAAUUUCUCAGUUGUCAAUUAAAUUUUCCGGAUAAAUAAAUCAACUCAAAAUUUUAAUGACAGAUCAGUUAGGAUCCAUACAAACCAUAAAGAGAAAACAAUCAUAAUAAUCAUAAUGAUUGGAAAAACAUUACACCAGCAUUGCACAUUGAAAUUAAUUCGAUGUUUUAAUUAAAUUAUUUAUGAAAUGGAAUUGAAUGUUAAAAAAAAACAGGGCUAGCACAAAUUUACCACGUAUUUCAGUACUCGUAUUCUUUUUUGUUGAUUCUGCCAACAUCUAAAACAGUGAGUUGACAUAAAAAAACCGUUAUUUUACCUAAACUGUAAGGAAAAAAAUGAGUACUUAACUUUGAAAAAUUGUGUGUGUAGCUAUUUUGUUGAAAGGGAAUGUAUAUUAAUUGUAUGUACAUUAGAGUGACCGGAAGAAAUCGAUUUUCGAAAUUUUUUGGGGGGAACCACAUAAAAUGUUCAGCCUUUGCAGAUUUUUAGAUAGCCAAAAUUUAAGCUCCAUUCGAUAAGUCUAAAUGGUGGCGACAAUCGCUCAAAGUAUCAACAAUUUCUGUUUUUCACCGUUUGCGAAAAAAAUUAGCUCCCAAACAGAAGGAGCUAUUUUCACUAUUUAUAUAUUAAAUUAAAGGUAUUGUUUUUACACAUAAUUCGGAUGCUAAAUUUGUUUGGUCUUACUUAAAAAAAAAAAGUUUGCGUUCAAUUUAAAUUUUCAGUACUGACCUCAAAAAAAAGCUGAGGUGCAAACUCUCUUAAAAAUGAAAUUUUCUUUCUUAUAGAUUGAUGUAAGGUAUAUGAUCGAAAUGCUUCUCGUAUACAUAAUUUUAAUAACAAUAGAAGAAUUAGGGCAGAGUAAAAUUGGCUUUGAAAUUCCAAAAUGAGGCUUACAUCCAAGAAGAAAAAAAUAAAAAAAUACCUACGAUUUGAAAAACUCCUCCUUUUUGGAAGGUACUAAAAGAGGUUUCAAAAUUAAUGGUCCAAAUAGAUUCUUAAAUAUAAAAUAAGGAUAUCGGUAAAAAAAAAAUGUUAAUAAGCACCAACUACUUGAAGUAAUAACGAAGAUUAAAGGCAAUACAUUUUAAAUGCAACUGCGGAUACGGAUAGCAAUGCUAAAAAAAAACAGCUAAUGUUUAUGAACAGUAAGAUUUUGGGUGUUUUCAUAAACGUCUGCCUAACUUAGGCCUGCGUUAGUCGUGUUCAUAAAGUCAGAUCUGCGAUCGGACUAACUUAGUCCAACUGCAGUACUGCUGUUCAUAAACGUCAUUUAUGUCGUCAACGUCGCACAUAGGGAUAUUCAACUACGAGACCCGCUCAUAUAACUUUUUUGCAAAAUGUGGAGUUGAGAAGUGAUUUUUUGUUUGGCUAUUCUUAAAUACCCACGGAAUAAUGUCCCAUAAUUUUCUUGUUGUUUUUAUGCAUGCAUUUAGCCACAGCACCAGUUGAAAGUCAUUAGGGGUAUUCACGAUCCGAUGCAACUGGUCUUGUAUCAUUGCAAAAGUGCAAAAGUGUAAAAUCUUGCAACACUACAACAACAAAAUCUAUGGAUUGAAAUUUUACAAUGGUCUUGCACUUUUGCUAUACCCUAACCCUAUUGCAAAAUAAAAAUACAAUGGUGUAAAAUUUUUUUGACAGAUGGCAGCUCGCCGUCGCGUGUCGCCCAUGAUGAACAGUUUAUCUUUUUUAUUCUUAUUCUUUUCUUUUAUAAAAAAAUUGAAAAAAAAGAAGAAGCAUCGGUGGAAAGACAACUCCGUAAAAAAAAAGAGUGAAGCUGAUAUAAUUCAUAUCAUGGAUUUCAUUCAAUAUUUACUAUAGAUAAGAAGAGGUGCGUUCACGAUCUAUUGUAAAAAAAUAAAAUUUUACACUUUUACUAGACCUGUUGCACCAGAUCGUGAAUACCCCUAUUGAUUGUAAUCCUUAAAUGUGGUUCAGUUGUUUUGUGUGAAAAAUUACAUCGGCAAUAAUUAAUUUUUUUUUUUGUUUCUAUUGUUUUAGAUAAAAUUUUUGUUUUGGAAGUUUCAGUUGCAGGUGUGUACUUUAUUUAAAAAAUACAUUUGUUGUACUUGAAGCUUUAAUUUAUUGUUAAAUUAAUUUAUUUUAAAUGUAAAUGUAAGUUAUUUUUUUAAUUUCUGCUUUUUCAAUGGACCUUUUGUUAUAUCAUUUGGUGUUAUUCGGUAACAUUUUUGGUAUCAUAUUAAAGAGGAACAUGUCAAAAAGCAAAAACAAAAAAAAAACGUCUGCCCGUUUUUGCCCGUCUAGCUUUUAUCGUCUUUUAUGUGAACCUAGUUUUGUGAAAACUAUUGACUGUUUUAAUUAAAAAAAUUUUUUUUUGACGAAUUGAUAUUUUAUUAUCAAUUAAACAAAUAUAACCGUCACAUUUUAACUAUCAAAUAUUUAUUGAUAUUGAAAAAUAUCAGAAUUCACUAUUUUUUUUUUUUUCAGUGUAUCCAAAAAUUUUUUUUAUACCUAAAUUCAUUAGAAACAAGCUUUAUUACUGUUAGUAAAUGGUUUUAGUCAAGUACAAUUUCAUUAAGCAAAAAAAAUUCUCGAGCGGUUUUUGAAGGUAAAUACCCCUAUGUGCGUCGAGCAGAUUGCGCAGUCAAAAUUUUAUGACUGCAGAUCUCGCGAAGAAGUUUAUACCUAAGGCUUUUGAUUCGAUGUUUUUAUUUUUAAUAAAUGUAAAUAUUGUUAAAAAGAUGAAAAGCAAACAUAUUAAUUAGGCUGGUGCAAAAAAUAUUUCUUUUUUCAUUUUUUAAAAAAUUUAGAUUUUAAUGAUGCAGAAAGUUUCUAAAUCGUAUUUUUUGAUACAACGAGUUUAAAUUGAUUUCACAGCCACACAAAAAAAUAUAAAAGUUCUGAUCUGGGGUUGCGACUAGGUUUUUCGUAUAGUUUUUGGGUCGUUGAAACCGAAUCUGAAGUCCGUUUUGCUCCAUCACGUCACGUUUUCGAGAUAACCUCAUUAAAUGUCACGAAAACAGAAAUUUUUUUUUUCUCUGAUCUGGGUGUGCGAAUAUGUUAAUCAUAUAGUUUUUGGAUAGCUGAAUCCAGAUUCGAAGUCAAUUUUGCCCUAUCAAGUUUUGGUUUUGACAUUUUUUUGAAGAUAUCUCAGAAACGUGAUAGGACAAAAUUGACUUCGAAUCUGAAUUCAGCGAUCCAAAAACUAUAAGAUUAACAUAUUCGCACAUCCAGAUCAGAGAAUUUUUUUUUUUGUUUUCGUGACAUUUUUUGAGGUUAUCUCAAAAACCUGACGUGAUGGGGCAAAACGGACUUCAGAUUCGUCGCGACCGCAGGUCAGAACUUUUAUUUUUUUUGUGUGGCUGUGUUUUUUUCGUAUUAGGGUGGCUCUAAAAAAUGUUUACUUUUACAGUUUCCUGUGGAAUUCGAAAAAAUUAAACGUGGAUAUUAUUUUGGCCAAAUUAUCGAAGAAAAAAAAUUUUUCAAUUAGGGUGGCUGAAAAAAAAUUUUUUUUUUUAAUUAUGAAAAAAAAAAUUCACUACAGAGAAAGUUUGUAAGACAUGGUUUAUGAAGUAAAAUGUAAAAUUGAGCAGACAUUUUCGCAUUAGGAGGCUCAGAAACAUAGUAUAUUUUAAAUUUACUCUACAAAUCGAUUUAAUUAAUUUCAUAUGAAUUAAAUAUUGCUAUAGGAAACAAAAAAACUUUCUGUGCAGUAAGACUAGUUUUUUUUUUUCAAACGGAAACAAAAAUUUUUUGAACACCCUAAUUAAAAAUAUUUUUUCCAUUCAAUGAUUUGUUUCAAAUGUGAACCACUCGUGUUUUUUAUUCUGCUAUUUAAAGUAGAAGAAAAUAUGUAUUUUUUUUGUGCCACCCUUAUAUAACACGGUUUACAAAUUUUCCGUGUUAUUAAAAACAUGUUUUCUGCAACUGAAAAAGGAUAUAUUUGUUUGCUUAUCAAACAAAACUCAUUCCGUGGUGAUUUUUAUAUUUUUUUUUUCUGACGUUUAUGAACACUCAGUGACAGCUGAAAAUUGUACUAACGCAGGCCUGCAAACAUUCUGCAGAAUUGGUGUGUUCAUUAAUGCAGCAAAGCAGAAAGACGAUUGUACUAACGCAGAUUUCCGACGUUUAUGAAAACACCCUUUCUUAGAAACGACAGUUUAUGAAACAACUAUAGAUUUUGCCCAUUACUUUUACAACAUGUGAAACUCCUCAUUGUUCCAGCAUUUGAAAUAAAUAUUGUCUUCUUGUAUACAUACAUAUUAGGGUGGACCAAAAAAAAUCUUUUUUUCAUUAUUUUAAUAUGCUAUACCGAUAACUUGUUUUCUUGACACAAAAUAAAGCUACCCUAAUUUUUUCAGAAUUUUUCGAUGGGGUUUAGGGGCUGCGCGCACCCCUUUAUUUAAAAAAAUAAGCUCUUUUAUUUUUUAUGGGUGCCGAGAUUUUAUAACGGUAUUUUGUAGAGAAGUUGAAUACGAUCAUUUUUUACUAUGGGAGGGGUGGUCUAUUUCCCCCCGUUUAGGCAAGAGGAGAAAUUUUCUAAAAAAUGACUUAAAAUAAUAAAAAAAAAUAUUAAAAAACAAACGGCAACAUCAGUGAUACCUUUUUCAAAAAGUUGAACUGUACAUUUAAUUCUAAUUUUUAAAUAAAUUUAUUUCAAUCAAUGGUUUUUGAAAAAAUCGAUUUAAAAGUAAAAAAUUGUGAAAAAAAAGUUUAAAAAACACAUUAAAUACUAUUUUUGUCAAGAAUGUGGCUCACAAUACAACAAUGGCUGAUAAAAUAAACUGUCACAAUUGAUUUCUUAUAUCAAAUACUGAAAUCCAUAUAUUUUAAUGCUUUAUAGUUUUUGAGAAAAUUGAAAAAUAGAAAAACUUCUUUCUUACCAUACCUACUCGAGAUCUUAUUUCUGGUUCCACGAAAUUUUAUUUUGAAAACUAUCCAUAUUUUUUAAUGAUGGUAUUGUUGAUGGAGCGCCUUAUAAUAUUUUAUAUAGAAUAAGUUUUUUGAUGGUGGCACAAAUAUCGAAAACAGCCACAAAAAUUAUAAGCUGAUAAAAAAACUUGGUGCACUUUUAUAUCUCAGUACUUUUUGUGCGAGCAUAAUUUCAACAUAGGAGAACUUGGCUCUUUUUUUAACAGUAAUGUUUUUGUUGUGAUUUCACUACAUUUUACAAGGUAUGGCUGUAGAAUUGAAAAUCUCUAUAUUUGAUGAAAAUUCAGUGAAAGUGGGCGGUUGCCACGCCCCUGGCUGAAAUUCUCAAACUUUAAAUUUUUUCCUUUGUAUAAACUACCAUCUCUACACUUCUACCAAAUUUCAAGAUUCUACGAUAAUCAGAAGUGCUCUAUAAUAUCUUAUGAAAAUUCAGAGGAAAUGGGCGGUUGCCAUGACCCCUGGCUGAAAUUCUCAAACUUUAAAUUUUUUCCUUUGUAUAAACUACUAGCUCUACCAUUCUAUUAAAUUUCAAGAUUCUACGAUAAUCAGAAGUGCUCUAUAAUAUUUGAUGAAAAUUCAGCAGAAAUGGGCGGAUGCCACGCCCCCUGAAUUGAAAAUCUCAAAUUUUCGAUUUUUUCCUUUGUAUACACCACAAGUCCUAUCAAGUUUCUACGAUAUCGGGAAGUUCUCCAUAAUUUUGAUGAUCUGUCAGUUACGGUUUUUGCGAUUUUUGAAGCCCUAUAUCUCAGAAACUACUCAUCGUAGGAGGCUUAAAUUUUGUGAAGUGUUUGGUUUUGACCAGUUCAACAAAAAUGUAGCGAGUUUAAAAUCUCUAGCAUCUUUGGUGUGGAAGUUAUAGGGGGGUCGAAAAUGGCCUGAGUUGUUUCCUGCGCGCAACCCCUAAACAUCAUCAGAAAAAUUAGGGUAGCAUUAUUUUGUGUCGAGAAAACAAGUUAUCGGUAAGCAAAUCAAAAUCAUGAAAAAUAUUUUUUUGGUCCACCUUAAUACAUAUGUAUAAGACUGAUUUUGAAACUACAAAGUCAAUUGUAGUACUUCUAUUGUUAUUAAAAUUAUACGAGAAGUAUUUCGAUCAGAUACCUUACAUCAAUCUAUAACAGAAAAAUUCAUUGUUAACAGAGUUUGCACCUCAGCUCUUUUUUGAGGUCAGUACUGAAAAUUUAAAUUGAACGCAAACUUUUUUUUUUUAAGUAAGACUAAACUAAUUAAGCAUCUGAAUUAUGUGUAAAAACAAUACUUUUAAUUUAAUAUAUAAAUAGUGAAAAUAGCCCCAAAACAAUGAAAAAAACAGAGAUUUUUGAAUUUAGACUUAUCCAAUGGAGCUUGGCUAUCUAAAAAUCUGCAAAGGCUGAACUUUAUGAAUUUUAUGGGGCUCCCUCGAAAAACUAGUGUAAAAAAAAAAAUUCGACAACCAAAUUUUUCAAUGGGAUUUGCGGUCACUUUAAUGUACAUACAUAUAUUAGAGUAUUUCAAAAAACAAAUUUUUUUAUUGAAAAUUAUUGAAAAAUUGACAGGGCAUCCCCAGACUAGGCCUUUUUGUAGAGCGUUAAAUUUCAAUGGAAAAUGCUAAAUGUAUUUUUUAUAGAAAUCGAAAAUUGUAAAUGUCACCUCUAAAUAUUUUUAUUUCAUGUCUUAGCAUGUGUAUAGUCUACAGAUGUCCUGCCGAUUUUUCAAUGUUUAUAAAAAAACAAAUAUUUUUUUUUGAAACACUAAUAUAUACAUAUGUAUGAACAUAUGUGUUGUUAAAUAUAUAUUAUAUAUAAACACCACAAAUUUGGUGUUAGGUAUUAACAUGAUAACUGUCAAAAUAAAAAAUAGUCAUUUAAGGCUUUCAAAUAUUUAUUAAAAUAUUGCUAAAAAGCUUUACAUUAAACUAAAUAAUUACAGUCACCUCUUAACGUACGUUCAAUUCAAUCUCCGUUAUAAAAAAGAGUUGAAUGCAGUUAUGAUGUUUAUACUACACAGAUAUAUGUUUUUAUAAUGUAAGUAAGUAAGCUUCAGAAGCAUUGUCCUAUCUCAAAAUCUGGCGGUUUUCAGAAAGGCGAUUUGAAAUAUUUGUUGUGUUAAAAAACUAAUCUUCGUCUAGAGUUUAUGCGAGGAGCUAAAAGUUGUAGAACAAAUAAAUUUUAUUUUUUGGUCCUCUAUCAAGAAUGGUAUAAAUAACUUUUUUUUAAUCCUGGAAAAACAAGCUAAUUUUUUUCAGGCUUUUGUCGUUUCGCAUGAAAACAAUUCCUAUUCUUUUGUUUUUUUUUUUUUUAUUAGAAAAUCUUGAAAAAAUUUCGUUUUGUAUUGUAAUGUAACCAAUAUUUUUUUUAUUAACAGGGGUGGUACCUUAAAUGCAAAACAACUUUAUGCCCUCACGCCUUCAAUUUAUGAGGUAUUUUAAUGAAAUUUUGACCAGAAAUAUAUACUCCAGUCAAAGCGUCGGAAAAAAGGGCCUCACCUUGCGAUGAGAGGCACUGUCUGUUUUUAUUUCAUGGAUCGAUGGGGGUAUAUUUAAAAGGCUUAAACCCAAUUUCUCACCACCUGAUCAUUCUUUUUAGCGGAGUUAUUCACAAAAAUGCAUUUUUUGGGAUAUUUUACUUCUAAGCUAAUAUCUUUGCUCCAGAUUAUUGUAGACCAAAAAAUAAACAUACAUUCUCUUCCUUAUAAUAUUUUCUAUCGUUGUAUGUAAUUUCAUUUUAUUUGAGUGAGUAAAUAUAAAAUGGCAGCCAUUUAAAGUCAAAUUCCCGUUGUUAAAAAACACAUUUUUGUCAUUAUUUCGAAAAAAGCUUAUAUCAUGAUUGACAUUUUUCUAACCUAUUUUGUAGCCCUGUUCAUGUCCUGCAUUUUACAGAAAAAAUGAGCUCUUUAUCACCAAAGAUGGCCGAGGUAUUGAUAAAUGAACGCAUGCAAAACCGGUGCGAAAACACCCAAAAAUAUCGUUUUUUGGGAAUAACUCGACUUCAGAAUGUCCUACGGCAAAAAAUAAAGCAAUGAAUUGUUCGUUACAACAUUUUCUAUCAAUUUAGUGCACAAUCUUUUUGUUGAAACAAAUAAAAAAUAAGUAAUAUUAAGUCAAAGUCGUUUUUUUGUUUAGCAAACUCUUGCCUUAUUAUUUUGCAAACGGUGCGAGUAUUGGCUAAGAAAAUAAAAUAUUAUUGUAGUCCUUUAAAUUAUCUACAAUUCAAAAAAAAAAAUUAGCUUUCUACGACCCACGGGAGCCGAGCUGUUAUAAUUUUAAGAAAGCAUUAAUCCGAACGAAAAUUCAAAAAAAUUUCCCUUGUUUAUGAUUCGAAUACUAGUUCUCAGUGAGAGGGGUUGUUUUCAUUGUUUCUUGUUAUAAGAGAAUUUGUCUUAUGUUUUUUCGUUGGUCAUUUGGACCUUUUUUAAAAAAUUAAUUACUCGGCUCGUGUGGGUCGUAGAGAGCUAAUUUUUUUUUAAAUUGUAGAUAAUUUGAAGGACUACAAUAAUAUUUUAUUUUCUUAGCCAAUACUCGCACCGUUUGCAAAAUAAUAAGGCAAGAGUUUGCUAAACAAAAAAACGACUUUGACUUAAUAUUACUUAUUUUUUAUUUUUUUCAACAAAAAGAUUGUGCACUAAAUUGAUAGAAAAUGUUGUAACGAACAAUUCAUUGCUUUAUUUUUUGCCGUAGGACAUUCUGAAGUCGAGUUAUUCCCAAAAAACGAUAUUUUUGGGUGUUUUCGCACCGGUUUUGCAUGCGUUCAUUUAUCAAUACCUCGGCCAUCUUUGGUGAUAAAGAGCUCAUUUUUUCUGUAAAAUGCAGGACAUGAACAGGGCUACAAAAUAGGUUAGAAAAAUGUCAAUCAUGAUAUAAGCUUUUUUCGAAAUAAUGACAAAAAUGUGUUUUUUAACAACGGGAAUUUGACUUUAAAUGGCUGCCAUUUUAUAUUUACUCACUCAAAUAAAAUGAAAUUACAUACAACGAUAGAAAAUAUUAUAAGGAAGAGAAUGUAUGUUUAUUUUUUGGUCUACAAUAAUCUGGAGCAAAGAUAUUAGCUUAGAAGUAAAAUAUCCCAAAAAAUGCAUUUUUGUGAAUAACUCCGCUAAAAAGAAUGAUCAGGUGGUGAGAAAUUGGGUUUAAGCCUUUUAAAUAUACCCCCAUCGAUCCAUGAAAUAAAAACAGACAGUGCCUCUCAUCGCAAGGUCAAAUGACGCUUUGACUGGAGUAAUAGCUUAUUGUUUUGAUUUUUUUCUGUUAUGUACACUUAACUCAAAAUCGAUCAAUUUUGAGAUCGGACACUUUGCUUCUGAAACGACGAUAUGUAUAUAUAUAUAUAUACAGAUAAUGUUUAUGUUUGACAUAUAUACAAUUUCAUAUUAAUUAAUUAAUUCUUUAAGAACAAUGUCAAAUCACGCAAUCAUUUAUUUAUAAGCUGACGAUGCUAGCCAAUGUAAUAAUUUUUGGUUAUUAUAUUUUAUCUUGUUUUGCAUUUUUCUUUUAUAUGUUUCUCAAUAUUGAAAUUCAUUACUAAUUCAAAAUAUUUAUAACAAAGCAAAUAAAUAAAUAUCUUCGUAAAAUAUUCUCAAUUUGAAAUAUAAAUUCAUCUACUAUUUAGAACAUA